UACGUAGGGUGCGAGCGUUAAUCGGAAUACUGGGCGUAAAGCGUGCGCAGGCGGUGAUGUAAGACAGUUGUGAAAUCCCCGGGCUCAACCUGGGAACUGCAUCUGUGACUGCAUCGCUGGAGUGCGGCAGAGGGGGAUGGAAUUCCGCGUGUAGCAGUGAAAUGCGUAGAUAUCGAGGAGGAACACCGGUGGCGAAGGCGCCCACCGUGGCCUGCUGAC
rnacentral:rRNA from 1 species